rnacentral:hammerhead_ribozyme from 1 species
AUCAAGAUGACGAGUCCAAGAUGGAGCGAAACGCGCGUCCUGGAU